rnacentral:rRNA from 1 species
GACAGAGGGUGCAAACGUUGUUCGGAAUCACUGGGCGUAAAGCGUGUGUAGGCGGCUCUGUAAGUCGGAUGUGAAAGCCCCGGGCUCAACCCGGGAAGUGCACCCGAAACUGCAGAGCUCGAGUCUCGGAGAGGUUGGUGGAAUUCUCGGUGUAGAGGUGAAAUUCGUAGAUAUCGAGAGGAACACCGGUGGCGAAGGCGGCCAACUGGACGAAGACUGACGCUGAGACACGAAAGCGUGGGGAGCAAACAGG